UGGUCUGGCCUGAGGUCUCGCCACAAACAAGUGGCUGCUGGAAGAGAGUAGGUGGCUCUGUGUAUCAUUAUCCUGCAGUCGUUGGUAUAACUAGAGAAGUAAGCGGUCGACAACAUUCAUCUCUCGUUACUCUUUGUUACGGUGUGUCUGACCCUAAGUUAAUUUUACGCCGGAUUAUCCUUUUAAGUUUCUGUCUUUAUGCUCGUCCUGUUCCUGUUUUUUCAUUUUAUUUGACUCAAAGUGGAGAUAACUUUGCUGCAGCAGCAACAGGAAGCUGCUUAACAGCUAUUUUAGAGAAGAAACAACAAAGUGUUAAAUUCAGAUCGUGAUCGAAUCGUCAUUUACGAAGACAGAGUCAGGCUGGCUGUUUCCCUAUGAGUCUUUAUUCUGAGUUAGACACACAGAGUGAGAGUUAUCAGAAAGAGAGUAAACCUCAAAGUAUUAAACUCCUCCCCCUUUAAUUUUCAUACCUGUUUGUCAAACUUCUCUUCUUCAUUACUGCCUUUUCUUUUCGUUUGGUUUUGAUCACAUUAAGUUCAUGUUACGACCGAAACUCAAACAAAAAACCUUUCAAACUUUGACUGUUGAGCACAAACUAAAAACCCACGGAUGCACAAAUGUGGAUUUACACACGUGUAAAUGAAUCGGACAUCUUUGAGAAAGCAUGUAGAAACUUCCUGUAAGAAGCCAGGAAGUCCAUAUAAGGACAGCUGACAUGACGUCACUUCACAGUCGUCCAAAGUUCACUGAGUCUUGUGUUCUUGGUUUUCCUCGACACAGCGCUGCAGGAGCCUUAUUGGUCAAUUACGAUUAUUUAACUCCUGUCCCAUCUGUUUACAUGGAGGGGACAGGCUGUGUAGUACCGCAGCCAGUCAGCAGGGGGAGCUCUUUAGGUUUUGGCUUCACUUUUACAGCGAUUUUACACUGUCGCUCUUUUUCAUCAAAGCUUUAGUAACGACAAGAUCCUCGUGGAUUUACAGACGGCUACAAAAACGUUUUUUCGUGUUUUCCCGACAUGUCGAAUAUGUCCGACAGAUCCUGCUCUUGAACUGAUUCUUUCCUCUUUGUUUGUUUGUAUCUCCAGUAUUUUGUCACCAUGUGCUGAUCCAUCUUGUUUGUAUAUUUUUGCAUUUUUAUCUCGGACCCUGGACUUCAUGAAGGACUCACUUUGAACUCUGGACUUUAUUUAUUUGCAGCUAAAAGACUUUUUUUAAUUAUAAUUUGAAGGAAAAGGCUCCAGUGUUUCCUCGACCUCUGAACUCACACGGUUGGAUGUAUUUUAACGACAUGAUUAAACUUC